rnacentral:rRNA from 1 species
UACACUCCUACGGGAGGCAGCAGUGGGGAAUUUUGGACAAUGGGCGAAAGCCUGAUCCAGCAAUGUCGCGUGUGUGAAGAAGGCCUUCGGGUUGUAAAGCACUUUUGUCCGGAAAGAAAUCCUUGGCUCUAAUACAGUCGGGGGAUGACGGUACCGGAAGAAUAAGCACCGGCUAACUACGUGCCAGCAGCCGCGGUAAUACGUAGGGUGCGAGCGUUAAUCGGAAUUACUGGGCGUAAAGCGUGCGCAGGCGGUUUGCUAAGACCGAUGUGAAAUCCCCGGGCUCAACCUGGGAACUGCAUUGGUGACUGGCAGGCUAGAGUAUGGCAGAGGGGGGUAGAAUUCCACGUGUAGCAGUGAAAUGCGUAGAGAUGUGGAGGAAUACCGAUGGCGAAGGCAGCCCCCUGGGCCAAUACUGACGCUCAUGCACGAAAGCGUGGGGAGCAAACAGGAUUAGAAACCCCUGUAGUCCCAUG